UCAAGCUAAUAAGAGCGCAAGGGGAAUGCCUUGGCAUCAGGAGCCGAUGAAGGACGUGACAAGCUGCGAUAAGCUGCGGGGAGCUGCACAUAAGCAUUGAUCCGCGGAUUUCCGAAUGGGGAAACCCGUCAGAGCAAUACUCUGACAACGUGCAUUGAACAAAAUAGGUGUACGUGGGGAACCGCCUGAACUGAAACAUCUAAGUAGGGCGAGGAAGAGAAAUCAACAGAGAUUCCGCUAGUAGUGGCGAGCGAACGCGGAAGAGGGCAAACCGGAGGAUUUAUUCUCCGGGGUUGUGGACCGACGCACGAUGCAAUAGGUUAGCUGAACGGCAUGGGAAGGCCGACCAGAGCGGGUGAUAGUCCCGUAAGCGAAAACCGAUUUGUGUUAGUUGGUAUCCAGAGUACCGCAGGACACGUGAAACCCUGUGGGAAACUGGGGGGACCACCCUCCAACCCUAAAUACUACUUGAUGACCGAUAGAGGAGCAGUACCGUGAGGGAAAGGUGAAAAGGACCCCGGGAGGGGAGUGAAAGAGAACCUGAAACCUUGUGCUUACAAGCACUCAAAGCUCGUUAAAGAGUGAUGAGGUACUUUUUGUAGAACGGUCCGGCGAGUUAUUGUAUGUAGCAAGCUUAAGGUAUUCAGUACCGGAGGCGAAGCGAGAGCGAGUCUGAACAGGGCGAAAUGAAGUUGCAUGCAAUAGACCCGAAACCAGGUGACCUAUCCAUGAGCAGGUUGAAGUGGAGGUAAAACUCCAUGGAGGACCGAACCGACCCCCGUUGCAAUGGUGGCGGAUGACUUGUGGAUAGCGGAGAAAUUCCAAUCGAACUUGGAGAUAGCUGGUUCUCCCCGAAAUAGCUUUAGGGCUAGCCUCAGGGUAAAGAUUGCAGGCGGUAGAGCACUGAUCAGGAGAGGGACCUACCCGGUUACCAAACCCAGUCAAACUACGAAUGGCUGCAAUUAUACCUGGGAGUCAGACUACGACUUAUAAGGGCCGUGGUCAAAAGGGAAACAGCCCAGAUCAUCAGCUAAGGUCCCAAAUGCCGUGCUAAGUGGCGAAGGAUGUGGCGUUUCAUAAACAACCAGGAUGUUGGCUCAGAAGCAGCCACCAUUUAAAGAGUGCGUAAUAGCUCACUGGUCGAGAGACGCUGCGCCGAAAAUGUCCGGGGCUCAAGCACGGAACCGAAGCUAUGGCAUUGCGUAAGCAAUGGGUAGGGGAGCGUUCUUAUGGGGAAGAAGCAUUACCGUAAGGAGAUGUGGACACAUAAGAAGUGAGAAUGCCGGUAUGAGUAUCGAAAAGAAAGGUGAGAAUCCUUUCCACCGAAAGCCCGAGGGUUCCUGAGCAACGAUCGUCGUCUCAGGGUAAGUCGGGACCUAAGCCGAGGCACAGACGCAUAGGCGAUGGACAACAGGUUGAAAUUCCUGUACCGGAUGGAGUCAUUUGAGCAAUGGAGUGACGCAGGAGGGCACAUGAUCGCGCGACUGGAAGAGCGCGUCCAAGUGCGUAUGUUGAAUCGGAGGCAAAUCCCCGAUUCUGAAAGCAGAGACAUGAUGGGGAGUUAUAAGCGAUUAUGACGAACUCAUGGAUCCCACACUGCCAAGAAAAACUUCUAGCGAGACGAAAUCCGCCCGUACCGUAAACCGACACAGGUAGGCGGGGAGAGAAUCCUAAGGUGCGCGGGAAAACCCUCGUUAAGGAACUCGGCAAAUUGCAUCCGUAACUUCGGGAGAAGGAUGGCCCUGAGUAGGCGAAGUGCAGAAACGCACGGAACAGAAAAGGGUGGCAGAAAAGAGGCCCAAGCAACUGUUUACCAAAAACACAGGUGCCUGCGAAAGCGAAAGCUGAAGUAUAGGUGCUGACGCCUGCCCGGUGCUGGAAGGUUAAGGAGAGAGGUUAGCGCAAGCGAAGCUUUGAACUGAAGCCCCAGUGAACGGCGGCCGUAACUAUAACGGUCCUAAGGUAGCGAAAUUCCUUGUCGGGUAAGUUCCGACCCGCAUGAAAGGCGUAAUGAUUUGGGCGCUGUCUCAACGAGGGGCCCGGUGAAAUUGAAAUACCUGUGAAGAUGCAGGUUACCCGCGACUGGACAGAAAGACCCCAUGGAGCUUUACUGCAGCUUGAGAUUGAAUCCCGGUGGCAGACGCACAGGAUAGGUGGGAGGCUUUGAGAUAGUGACUUUGGUUGCUAUGGAGCCGACGUUGGGAUACCACCCUUCUGUUGCUGGGAUUCUAACGCGAAGAUUAACAACCUUGCGGACCAUCUCAGGUAGGCGGUUUGACUGGGGCGGUCGCCUCCGAAAGAGUAACGGAGGCGCCCAAAGGUUCCCUCAGGCCGGACAGAAACCGGCCGAAGAGUGCAAAGGCAGAAGGGAGCUUGACUGCGAGACAGACAAGUCGAGCAGAGACGAAAGUCGGGCUUAGUGAUCCGGUGGUACUGCGUGGAAAGGCCAUCGCUCAACGGAUAAAAGCUACCCUGGGGAUAACAGGCUAAUCUCUCCCAAGAGUUCAUAUCGACGGGGAGGUUUGGCACCUCGAUGUCGGCUCAUCACAUCCUGGAGCUGGAGUAGGUUCCAAGGGUUGGGCUGUUCGCCCAUUAAAGUGGUACGCGAGCUGGGUUCAAAACGUCGUGAGACAGUUUGGUUCAUAUCCAUCGCGGGCGCAAGAAGUUUGAGGGAGGCUGCUCCUAGUACGAGAGGACCGGAGUGGACGGAUCAACGGUGUACCAGUUGUCACGCCAGUGGCACGGCUGGAAAGCCGCAUCCGGAAAGGAUAAACGCUGAAAGCAUCUAAGCGUGAAGCCCGUCCCAAGAUGAGACUUCUCAUCAGCAAUGAGUAAGACCCCUUAAAGACGAUGAGGUUGAUAGGCUGUGAGUGGAAGAGCCGCGAGGCUUGGAGCGACGCAGUACUAAUAGGUCGAGGUCUUAACUUA
rnacentral:rRNA from 1 species